rfam:Nicotiana attenuata strain TT chromosome 12, whole genome shotgun sequence.
UUGGUUUCUUGGCCUUUUGGUUAAAAUCAAGUGUAGUAUCUGUUCUUUCACAAUUAUAAUUAUUAAGUACUAAUAUAAAGAGAAAAAUUCUC